GCACGUAAAUGUAUUCAAUGACAGAAGGCUAGUCCCGCUGUGCUUUAACAUUUCCAUACGGAAAAUUACCUCCACGUGUACUGUAUAUGUUGUCAUAUAUCACAACACAAUUGUGCUUUAAUGUAUUUUACAAGUGGCCCUAACUAUGAAAAUGUUGAGCGUCACAAACGCAUUUUUCCACUUUGCAAAACUGUCUCGAUACAAAUUAUCUUCGAUAUUUAUAUACUAAUUUACACAAUUGUGCUGAAGCUAAUAGAGUAUUAUAUGUAUUAUGCAUAAUAGUAAUUUGUAUAAUAUGUAUUACAAACAAUAUCUCUAUGUAUAAAUUACAUGUAGAAGGUGCUACUGCUAGCUAACAUAGAGGUCAAGCAGCUGAGAGUAGCUAAGCUUGCUUGACUGUAACCGCCACAAUAACCGUCACCAUACAAAGAAUUAAGGGUUCGAGUCGUUGUAAUUUUGGGUAAUAAGUUAUUUUUAAACUCACCAAGUGUUUACUACUUUUACACGUUGUACGAACCCCUUGCACGUUAUUUUGUUUUCCCCACUCUGCGCAUGCGCAAGCGUCUUCUUCUGUCUGAGCAAACGGCGCGUGACCAAUCCUCACCACGAAAUCCUGCCUCCUAUUGGGACUGUAUGAGGCGAGUCAUGAUGUAUAAACGAUUACAGUAUACUGUAAUACAUAUUUGUAGUAGCUAAUAACGCAGUUACGAAAAACAGCCCAUAUCAUGCUUUUUCUCAUACAUUGUAUUUAUUUAAGUCAAUACACACAGUAUAUUGAAAAAACUUCAUCAUUUAAAAACAGUUUUUUUCUGUUUCCAUAAAUGGAAAUAAAACAUAAUUCAAGAGAUACAACUGAAAUAAAUGUGUUAAAAGAAAUGUAAAAAAAAAACAUCUCUGUGUGUACAAUCAUAAUAUCAAACCUUCAUAAAUUGCAUAAACGGAAACACUGUUCAUGGAGACUUCUUCCAUUACAACUUUCAUUCACUAAAUCAACUUUAUCACCAUUUCUAACCAGUGUUGGGCAAAUGACUUAAAGGGAUAGUUCGGAUUUUUUGACAUGAAGUUGGAUGACAUUCCCAUCAGCAGUGUAGUGCAACAACAGUGACUUUACUCCCACUUCGCCCCGUGAGCCAGGUUCUGGUCGGUUUUUGUGGUGGAGAGAAGUAGUUCUGUAUCACUGGCGCUGCCGCUUGUGUGUUCCAAUGUUCACAUGCGCGGAUGAAGACCGCUGGGAUGUGUGUGAUUAGUUUUAGUCAAAGGCGAUCCAUCCCUUUUGCAUAGCACCACUGUGGUAGAAGUUCACAGUCUGCAGCCUUUCAGGGCCCCCAAUUGGGCUGGGGCCCCAAGCAGAUACCUGCCUUGCCUGGUGACAAGCAGCGCCCCUGGUUACAGUUACUAGUUACUUACCCCAAAAAGUAAUGUAAUUAUGAACGGAAUUACUCCUUCAUAAAUGUACUUAUCAGUUACCAGGAAAAGUAGUUAAUGCAUUACCUUAUUUUGAAAAACCUUCAAAUGUAUAAAAUAAUUUGGAUUUUGCAGUUGAGAGAUAAGAGAUUUCAUGAGAGGAGUUCAUCUGAGCUCGUGACUUGCAAUUCUCUACCAGAACGCCAGGGGGGAGUGUUUUCCUGAGAGUGAACAACUCUUGUUGACUCGCUAUUUAGCGUCCUGUGUGAUCGUAGUGAACAAUGGCGACUGAGUCCACACCGCUGAUAUCGAUAUCAAGACAUAAUUAUGUGCCACAUUUCAUUGUCGGUAACAAUAAUGGCGUAACAUUUGAAAUAGUAAUUAAUUAGAUUACUCUUUACUGCAAAACAGUGCAUUAAUGACGCCAUUACUCCCAACACUGUUUAUAACAAAACAGCCCUUCCUUUUUUAAUUGAUCUGAUUGACUCCUUUCCUAGACAGAAAUCAUUUUCCAGUGCAGAACGUCAAGAAUGUUUUUUAGCGUCUUUGCUGUCGACUUUCUGUACAGACAGGAAGUCCAUGACGAGCUUGGCGGCCUUUCUGGGCCGCUCCAACGCUAUUGUAUGACCACAGUUGUCCAGCAGAACCACCUGACAGUUGGGCACCGCCGCCUGCAGCACAGAUGCUCCGGAAACAUCCAGAACCUGGAACAGAGUGGACAUUUAUGGCAGGUGGCUUUAACCUUGAAUUCACUUUGAUAAAUGUCACACAUUUUAAAUAUGAUGGGUGUGGUCAGUGGAUAAAUGGCCAACAGUUAAAAGGGACUUCAGAUUCCCCACAGUGACAUCAGCACUUUCCCUUUGGUUGAUCGGAGCAAAACUGUUCCACAAGCGAAGUUACGCCCACAAUGGCUGACUGGGGAGAAGUUGACAUCUGUGGGACGGAAACUCGACAAAAGCCACGCCAUUUGUAAGCUAUGAAGAGCAGCUUUGAAGGACACUGGUAUCACAACAAUUCUUGAACAGUGAGACCAGCAGACCAACAGAGACGGGAUGCAUUUUGCCACCUUUGAAGAAAUUUGUCAUUAUUUGAGUGCCUUAGAGCACCACUGAAGGGUGAUGAUGGAUCCCGCAGCCAAUCCAUCUGAGUGCACAGGGCGGCAUGAUGAAGGAACGCAAUGUGUCCCCGGCAAAAAUAAAUAAAUUGCACAGUGAAAUGUUUUUGUGUCUUGUCAUGGGGACAGGGCUCUGUCUUUUACUCUGCAGUAACUUGUACACAAUGUCUUGUCUACUA